AUUUUCCAAUCUGGUGGCUUAUUGGUGGGUGAGAUGCGACCAAAAGUAUGUGGACACCCACCCGAAUUAUUCAGUCGACGUCUUCCAGUAGAAGGUGAAAGCUGUGUCGGGUGGCGUGAGGGGUGAAACAGCUGUGUGAACAUGCUGAAGGUUUCCGGACUCCCUGACUCAGUCACAUCUGACACACUUCCAAAAUCCAGCUGCUGUUUUUAAUGAUGCUACAUCAAUCAAGAACGAAAUCUGACGGAGCGGCAAUUCAUCACAUGGGUUCAUACACAUUUAUCAAUUCACCCAUUCACUCACUCACCCAUUCACUCACUCACCCAUUCACUCACUCACCCAUUCACUCACCCAUUCACUCACUCACCCAUUCACUCACUCACCCAUUCACUCACCCAUUCACUCACUCACCCAUUCACUCACUCACCCAUUCACUCACUCACCCAUUCACUCACGCGCCCGGUUCUUCAUUUUACUUUAUUUUUAUUUCUUGUUUGUUUAAUUGUU